AUACGGAGGGUGCAAGCGUUACUCGGAAUCACUGGGCGUAAAGCGCGCGCAGGCGGUCUUUUAAGUUGGAUGUGAAAGCCUACGGCUCAAUCGUAGAACUGCAUCCAAAACUAUUAGACUAGAGUGUGGGAGAGGAAGAUGGAAUUAGUUGUGUAGGGGUAAAAUCCGUAGAGAUAACUAGGAAUACCAAAAGCGAAGGCAAUCUUCUGGAACACUACUGACGCUGAGGCGCGAAAGCGUGGGGAGCAAACAGGAGUAGAAACCCCAGUAGUCC
rnacentral:rRNA from 1 species